GAGGACCGGAGUGGACGCAUCACUGGUGUUCGGGUUGUCAUGCCAAUGGCACUGCCCGGUAGCUAAAUGCGGAAGAGAUAAGUGCUGAAAGCAUCUAAGCACGAAACUUGCCCCGAGAUGAGUUCUCCCUGAGACUUUAAGUCUCCUGAAGGAACGUUGAAGACGACGACGUUGAUAGGCCGGGUGUGUAAGCGCAGCGAUGCGUUGAGCUAACCGGUACUAAUGAACCGUGAGGCUUAACCUUACAACGCCGAAG
rnacentral:rRNA from 2 species